rnacentral:lncRNA from 1 species
AUUCAGAGAAUGCGUUCCUGACACGUCGCGAUUGAACUGACGACUAUCUCGCAACGCACUGCCUUCGUUGAGUCAGCUGGAAGAGCUAGUAAGCUUUUUGGAAAGCAAACCAUGUUUGAUUAUGAUGGGCCAUGCUCGUACUGCGAAUGCGAGCAUGCAUGCAUGAUCCGAAAACAACAGCCCUAAACAGUGAAGUAGUGGGUGUAUGAAAAUAUUGGAGCAGUGGUGUAAGUACUGGAAGGACAAAAAGGAGCAGUUCAGAGGAAGUCCAGUUCUAUUGCAGCUGCAAGCCAACAUGAAGAAUUUGCCAGAACUCGGUGUAAUCAAGUUAAAAAUACAUUCUAUUAUGCAAGGAGAAUGUUUUGGAAUCUGAAUUUAAAAAUAAAUGCAUAUUCAUUAUAAAAUACAAAAUAAUAAAAAGACAUGAUGAAUUAAAA